UUGUUUAGUUACGCUGCUUACAUUUGUACACACAUGUAUACAUACACAUAUUGUACUCAUAAUUUUCUUUACUUCUGUCAAUACUCAAAUCUUCUAAAGAGUAAUUAUGUAUAUACAUAUGAACAACUUUGCAAAUAAAUCACUCGCUAAUAAACCGUGAACAAGAGCACACUGCACUUGUAAAUUGUUUUACAUCCCCGCAUUUUUAAAAUAAUAAAAUAAAGCAAGAACAACGCAUUUUGGCGUCCAACGUGGGGCAGUGUAAAAUAAGUUCACUUUUUUUGUGCAAAAGUGUGAAAAACUUUGUAAAAUUCAAAUUGUGAUUAUUAUACAAUAGUUGCAUCAAUUGCUGUAAAAAAUUUACAUAUGUACAUAUGCACGUCCAACAAACAGUUUAGUGAAGCAACAUAAAUAUAAAUUACAUUCGCUGUUGUUGGUGGGUCCCAGGACUGAUAUUCGUUUAUUUUCACAUAACUGGUUUGCGAUCGGAUGAUUUGUCUGGUGAGAUUUUAAGCAUUUCUUCUGUUGCUGAAAUUACCGCUCAUUGGAAAGCGUACGUAUAAAAACAAAUUACUUUAUCAUCAUACAUACGUUUAUCCAAUUACAUCCAUACAUAAUUCGCUAAAUCGCCGUUUGGAACAUUUUGGUUAACGGAGUUGCACUCGCUGCCUUUGUUAGCAGAUCAUCGCAUACUCAGCAUAGGUCAGCGCCUUUACAGCUCUGCUCAGCUGAACGUUCAUAGCUCUGCCGGCACUUGAAAGCGUCGCCCGCUUGGUCGCUGCACCGUUGCUGCUGUUCUGUCAACGCAACUAUUCUGAGAGCUCUGCUGCUAGCAGCAGUUAUUAUCGCGCUUUAUUAGUUAUUUGCAUUUUCUACAUUUUUUGCUGCCUGCACUAAAUGUUAGUGAGACAUUGUAUAGUGAGACAACGCAUUGUUAGUGAGCAGUAUACAACUUCUUUUUUUGCCGUCGCUAUUACUGACCGCUGGUAAUUAUUCUCUUCGCUUUACAUUAAGGGUGUACAAAAGUAACGUAAAAAGAAUAAUGUCUCUUGAACACUCCAAACGCAAACGUGCUAAUAUAAAACGCAAUAUAUCACGUAUUAAAUCUAUAGUUGAGGGAUCAAAAGACUUUGAUGAAAAGCCUUCACAUGCGGAGUUGCAAUGCCGACUGGGAAUACUAGAGUCAUACUUUAAGCAAGCACUCUCAGUUCAAGCUGACAUUGAAGAUUUGGAUCCAUCAGACACAGGUCGCGCAGAUUUAGAGGAUAGCUAUGUCACAGCCAAACUUUGCAUUCAAGCACAACUUGGGGACGAAGGAAACGUUACAAUUAAUUACCCCGAGACAACAGCUCCAACACCUGUUUCCACGCCAUCAUUCUUGCCAAGGUUGUCGCUGCCUACUUUCAGCGGGAAUUAUGCAGAAUACAAAAACUUUAUUGCGUCUUUUACUCAACUUGUCGCUCGGGAACCUAGACUAUCAAAUAUAGAACGAUUCAAUUAUUUGUUGUCGUGUCUUAAAGGUUCAGCCCUGGAAACCGUAAGAGCCUUCCAGGUAACCAGCGAAAACUACCCGAAAGCUUUAGAUAGACUCAGGGAACGCUUCGAUAAUGCCACUUUGAUUUUUUUUAAGGAGUUGCCUCCUUAUUUACGCUGCAAACAGCCGGUAAAUCAAACUAUCAACAAUUACGUAGUUUGAUUGACAAGGCAUCAGCUAUAUUCAGCUCGUUAGAAUCGUUGGGCACGAGCUCCAAUAUCGCACAAGCAAUGCUGAUUUAUAUUGUCAUUAGAAAAUGUGAUCAGCAAACUCGCAACAAAUGAAAUGAAUCGCUAGCCUACAAAUCGCUUCCAACUUGGAUACAAUGCACCCAAGUUUUAGAACGCCAUUGUCAGUUUUUGCAUUCAUCCGACUCCUCGUCACAUCAUAAGUUCGAGUCCACCAAACGAAUUCGGAUUACAACCCGUGGACAAAAUUCAUCAUUCGCCAUCACUAGCCUUCUUAAGUUCUUUGCUCUAGCGAUAAACACAAAAUCAUUGGAUGCUUUCAAUUUAAGGACAUGAACACGAAUCAACGCUACGAUGCCGCCAAGAAAUACGACCUCUGUAUCAAUUGUCUGAGCAAUGGUCACAGAGUAGCUCAGUGUGCGUCGAAGCAUCGCUGCCGCUCCUGUAACAGAACGCAUCAUACGCUCUUGCAUCAUGACAACGCGACUCUGCCUACACUUGCACGUCCAACAUCUCUUCCUGUUUCGCAAUCGUUUCAACCAUCAUCAUCAUGUUCAACCAAACCUCAUACAUACAACCAACUAGCUGCCACGCAUUCGCAUAUGGAGACAUCGGAUCACGGGCAGGUCAUUUUAGCAACAACUUUAGUUUUAGUUAAAGAUUCAACGGGUGCGUACAAGCUUGGAAGAGCCCUUCUCGACUCAUGUUCUCAAGUGAAUUUCAUGACCGAUGAGUUCGCACAAAGGCUUCACCUUCGUGGAGAAAAGUAUUACAUUGGCAUUCGCAGCAUAUGUGACUCAGUUAUCAACCUUAAAGCUCGAACCACCACAACAAUUAAGGCACGUACAUCAGCAUUUCAACUUUCGCUCCAGUUUGGUAUCACACCCCAUAUUGCAUACCAACCUGACGCUGAAGUUGACACAUUAAACUGGAAUUUGCCAGCCAACACAACUUUGGCUGACGAAACGUUCUUCAAACCUCGACGCAUCGAUCUGUUGCUUGGAACAGAGGCAUUUUUUGAAGCUCUCGCUGUUGGUCAAAUAUAGAUUGGCCAAAAUUUACCUACAUUGCAAAGAACAUUAUUUGGCUGGGUGGUUUCUGGAAGAUACCAGUCCAAGCACUAUACGCCUUCAAAGUCAUGUCUGCUAUUUCGCGAAGACUCUGUUGACGCAAACAUGCAACGCCUUUGGGAGCUCGAAACUGUCGACUGGAAACCCAACCCUACUUCACCUGAUCAUCGGAUUUGUGAACGUCAUUUUAUAGCCACAACACAUCAAGAUACUACUGGACGCAUAAUUGUGAGGCUGUCAUUUAAGGACAAUCCCGCUGCACUUGGAGCCUCAUUCGACAUCGCUCGUCGCCGAUUCUUAGCAAUAGAACGCCGUCUGUCGCAUUCGCCAGACACUUAUUCCCAGUACGUCUCGUUCAUCGAAGAAUACGAACGUCUUGGUCACAUGUCUGUAGUAAAAGCGCCGAAAUUAGAUGAACCACACUAUUACAUACCACAUCACUGCGUACUGAAACCUACAAGCACAUCAACAAAGUUUUCGACGCCUCUUGCCAAACUACGACACAAACAUCGCUAAAUGACUUACUUUUAGUUGGACCAACUAUCCAAACAGAGCUGUACAUGUUGCUUCUGCGCUUCCAUUUAUAUCGUUACGCUAUCACCAAAGAUGUCACUAAAAUGUACAAGCAGUAUCCUUGAAUAAAAAUGAUCGGAAAUUUCAUUACAUUCUUUGGCGAGCUUCUGCAGACGCAGAUCUUCUCACAUACCAGCUCAACACUGUGACAUAUGGUACCGCCUCAGCCCCAUAUCUAGCAGUGCGAAGCCUUCACUACUUAGCAGAUAAGCAUAUGGCAGAAUUUCCAAUUGGCGCCGCGGCUGCAAAGACUUUGUUCUAUGUCGAUGAUUUUCUAUGUGGUGCGGAUGACACAGAUGCCUUACACACAUUAAAGAAAGAAGUUAUUGAGAUACUUCGACGCGGACAGUUUCCUCUAUCCAAGUGGCAUUCCAAUCACCCAGAUUUCAUGGAAGGCCAAACUAUGAAAGAACUAGGCAUUACUGACGAUUUUACAUCAAUUGCACUUGGGAUGACUUGGAAUCAACGCAACGACAAGUUGUUAUUUUCAUUCACACCAAAGCAAGUUCACAAGUCUGUCACAAAUACUGUCUAUCGCUUCAUCGCUGUUCGAUCCACUUGGAGUGCUCUCACCACUCGUGAUAACCUCAAAAAUAAUUAUGCAGGAAUUGUGGCUGCUAAAAUUAGAUUGGGACGAGUCGGUUCCCCAACAUAUACACCAAGCCUGGAAUUGUUUCUUAGCAUCUCUAAACACGCUUUCAUCACUCAGCCUGCCUCGUUUUGUCUGCUACCAAAUGCUCGCGACAUACAGUUGCAUGGUUUUUGCGACGCAUCAAUUCGGGCAUACGGUUCGGCGAUUUACAUACGCAUAGAAGACUCCGACGGAAAAGUUGCUGUGCAUUUAUUAACGUCGAAAUCUAGGGUCGCACCAGUAAAAAAGCAGUCUCUUCCAAAACUCGAACUUUGCAGUGCCCACCUUCUCGCUUGCCUGUACGCUAAGAUAAAGAACAUAUUCACCUCUGUUAGCAUAACUACUUUCUUUUGGACUGACUCGCAACUAGUUCUACAUUGGGUAAAACAACAGUCUGUUACGCUGUCAACGUUCGUGGGCAACAGGGUAUCUGACAUAUAGGAAUUGACCACAGGUGGACAAUGGAGGUAUGUGUCUUCCAAAGAGAAUCCAGCCGACCUAGUAUCUCGAGGCUGCCCUGCUGCUGAACUCAAAUCUUCGAUAUGGUUUUCUGGUCCUCACUUUUUGCAAGAAAACGCAAUGAAAUGGCCAAGACACACAGGCAAUAUUGAGCUUGACAUGGAUAUUGUGAACAGAGAAAAACGCAAGAAGACAUUUGCUAUAGUUAAGGAGGUAAAUUACUUGAUCGAUGUCAUUGAUGGCAUAAGCUCGUAUCUCCAUUGUCUGCGUCUCAUCGCCUGUCUCUUUCGGUUCAGUGAUAAAUGCAGACGAAAGCCUACGACAAACACCAUUUCCUGACGAAUUACGAAGUGCAUCAUAUUGCAUUAUUUUUAACAUUCAGCAACAACAUUUUUCAAACGAUAUUCAAUUGCUUCGAAAAAACCAAGCCCUAAGGAGUAACUUGAAGUUUCUCACACCAUUCUUGGACAACGUUGAACUCAUAAAAGUUGGCGGACGUCUAGAUUAUGCAGAUUUACCCAACUCGCAGAAACAUCCGAUUCUACUACCCAGCGAUUCCCAAUUUGUACUAAAGUACGUUCGACACCUACAUUUGCGAAAUUUUCAUGCAGGCCCAAAGGCAUUGGUCGCCUUCAUCAGAUUAGAAUUUUGGAUUGUCAACGCUAGAGAUGUUGCUCGUCGCAUCGUUCGUUCCUGUGUGCAUUGUGUUCGUUACAAGCCAGUGCUGUUACAACAGGUAAUGGGCCCACUACCAGUUACACGUAUUACACCUGCACGCCCAUUUGAACGUUGCGGAAUCGAUUUUUGUGGACCAAUUAACACAUAUCUUCGAAUUCGAGGAAAACUACCCACCAAGUCAUAUUUAGCUGUAUUCGUGUGCCUCGUAACUAAAGCUGUGCACAUCGAGGUGGUCAUCGAGUGGUCGCCGUAAAAUGCCAUGUGAUAUCUUUUGCGACAACGCUACCAAUUUUGUGCGCGCAUCUAACCAGUUAAAGGACCUCAAACAGUUCUUAUCCAAGACUGAAACUGAAAUCUAUAAAUAUUGUUCCUCUGAUUUUAUUAAUUUCCUUUUUAUUUCACCCAGGGCACCUCACUUCGGCGGCCUCUGGGAAGCUGCGGUGAAGAGCGCGAAAGGGUUGUUAAAUCGCACAUUGGCAAACACUAAAUUGACAUUCGAAGAGUUAAGCACCGAUGCUGUAGAAGUAGAAGACAUUCUCAAUUCACGUCCGCUAUGUUCAAUGUCAUCAGAUCCCAACGACUUUGGUGCACUGACAGCUGGUCAUUUUUUGGUCGGUGAUUCUUUGCGUGGAUUGCCUGAGCGCUCACUGGAGCUGAAGACCGUUUUACACCUUGAUCGCUACAACACAAUUACUGCCAUCAAAAAAAGUUUUUGGCGCCGCUGGUCUGUGGAUUAUAUAAACGAACUACGAGCCCCUGUAAAGUGGACAACACCUUCACUUGAUCUCACUAAGGGUGCUUUAGUGGUCAUACAUGAUGACAAUCUGCCACCGCAACGUUGGAGAUUAGGUCGAGUCGAAUCAACCGUGCUUGGACGAGAUGGCCAUGUUAGAGUGGUGAAUCUCCGAACUGCCAAUGGAACUCUUUGUAGGCCAAUACAUAAAUUAGCCAUCCUUCCGAUUUCUUGAAAGAAAGUUCUUUCAACGGGGGCCGGGAUGUUGGGUCACCCUAAUGACAUGGCCCGUGCUCCGGAUAAAAGUAUGCUGAUGUAAGUUGCGGGAGUGAUUACACAAUGUUUGGUGGACGACAAAAUCAAAUUUUCCUCAUUAUUUUGUGUAUGAACUCAAUUGUUUGUAAUGCGAUAUAUUGGAGUAUCCUCUUACCGGAAAUGGGGUUACAAUAUCCGGCGUUGAAAUUUAAAUUAAAAAUACAUCUACGCUCCUAGGUAUUUAUUGCAGUAUUUAUUUUCUAAUACAUAGUAUUAUUAGCGCGAAAAGACGAUGUUAAAUUAUUUAUGCAGUUAUAAUUAUUAAACACUUGUUAGCAGUCACUAUUGUUAUUAUAGUAUUUUGAUUUUUUUAUUAAGCUCUUCAUUGUGUACACCCCGACGAACGUAUGCUCAGUUUAAAUCUAACACAUUCGCUGACCAGAAACUAUUACCAUGCCGCACUCUUAGCUAUUUCAUUUAAAAUAGCUGCGUAUCAACCUGCACUAUAGCUUCGUGUCUCAUAACUUCGAAUCCCCUACUCGAACAGUUUUGGAAAAAGGUGUAAGAAAAAUAAAGUUCGUAAGCGGUUCCGCAAGCGCACAUUUAAUAAAGCUUAAAUGAAAUUUCUCCAUCCCCAUUCCACCUCGCCGUGCCCCAACAUUGUAUCGCAAAAACAACAUCAGCAAUAAUAGCAUAGCACACUACGAUCAGCCACAACGUAACGCCACCAAUGACCAAAAGUGUGCAACGUAAAAAGAAAAAAAACAUGUAAUGCUCAUAAAAGUAAAAUUGGUUUCGAAAACAGUGGAAAAGGCCUCACAACACAUGCACCAAUAUUACCGAUCAGUAAUAUCAGAGAGUAUCGGCAAAAAUCCGAAACAUGAAUAUAUUGGUCAACAAACAACAGAGACUACCACCUGUAUGUAUGCAUAUUCAUAAGUACAUGUGGAAAUGUAAAGUGGAAAUAGUUGGAUGUCUCAUGGGAUCUGGUGCGUUGGAUGGUCCGGCAUUUGAAGGCGCAUUACCGUAAAACCAGUGACUGGCUCGCGUCAACGGGCGCAGGACUUCAAGAUGAAUCUGACGCAAGAACCGUAGAAGCUGAGGAAAAAAUUUAGAAAGCGGUUACCGGCCACGCAACCGUUACUGAACAGUUGGCGGCUAUCCAAGCUGAAAAAAUUGCUAUGGAAGCGAAAAAGUUGGAAUUUGAGAAAUAUAAAUUCGAAAAAAAUUAGGUACAAAGUUAAAAAAAUUAGAUAUAGAAUUAAAAAAAAAUGGAAACUGAUGAUAAAUAGAAGUUAUUAGAAUUACAAAUGAAAGAAAGAAUGGCUAUGUAUGAAAUUGAAAAAAGUAUGAAAAUAAAAAUAAUUAAAUAUACUAAAUUAUA